CUCUCUCUUUUUUACUUUAGCACACAAUAUAAUUAUUAUGCUAUGAUAGUUAGAGGUCCUCCCUAUUUAUAAAUGAUUCACUAUGAUCCAUAAAAUUAAGAUUUUUAAUUUAAACAAGCUUUGAAUUAAUCCAUAACUUAUCAAAGAAGGAGUCCUAUUGGCGCCUAACUAGGUGCCCUCAUGCACCCACACCUACGCCCAAGUGUGGGGUGGCACCAUGCAGCACCCCACC
rnacentral:lncRNA from 1 species